rnacentral:rRNA from 1 species
CAGCAGGCGCGAAACCUCUGCAAUAGGCGAAAGCCUGACAGGGUUACUCUGAGUGAUUUCCGCUAAGGGGAUCUUUUGGCACCUCUAAAAAUGGUGCAGAAUAAGGGGUGGGCAAGUCUGGUGUCAGCCGCCGCGGUAAUACCAGCACCCCGAGUGGUCGGGACGAUUAUUGGGCCUAAAGCAUCCGUAGCCGGUUCUGCAAGUCUUCCGUUAAAUCCAGCCGCUCAACGGAUGGGCCGCGGAGGAUACUACAGGACUAGGAGGCGGGAGAGGCAAGCGGUACUCAGUGGGUAGGGGUAAAAUCCUUUGAUCCAUUGAAGACCACCAGUGGCGAAGGCGGCUUGCCAGAACGCGCUCGACGGUGAGGGAUGAAAGCUGGGGGAGCAAACCGGAUUAGAUACCCGGGUAGUCCCAGCUGUAAACGAUGCAGACUCGGUGAUGGGCUAGCCUUGUGCCAGCCCAGUGCCGCAGGGAAGCCGUUAAGUCUGC